GACCAAGAAAUUAAGUCAUAUAUAUGUGGUAAAAAGACAGUUAGACAUAUAGGUUUGUUUUGGUUACUUAAUGUUUCAUAUAGGAGUAAAAUCUAAGUGUGAAUUGUAAAAUUUAUAAGUGGCUUCGAAGUUGAAUCUGUGAAAUCUUUAAGGGAAACUGGGAUUAGGUACCCCAUUAUUUCUGGAUGUAAAUCGAUAAGAAUUUACCAGAGUACUAUGAAUACUUAAAAAUUUAAAACUCAAAGAACUUGGCGGUGUUUUAGACCACCCAGGGGAACCUGUCUCGUAAUCGAUAAUCCACGUUGCACCUGACCUCUUUUUGUUUUCAGUUUGUAUACCGUUGUCGUCAGGUAACUUUUUAGAAAUUAGAAGUUAGCAACUAAAAUAUUAGUGAUUUAGUAUGUCAAAUCAAGGUGCAGCUAAUAGAGAGGGGAGGAUGGGUUACAAUUAUAUUAUAAUUUAUAAUGACGGACAGAUGUAUGGAUAUACGUUAAGUUAUAAGGAGGACUUGGAAGUAAAUUAGAAUAUAUAAAUAAUUUGAAUUAGGCUCUGAAACGUGU
rnacentral:rRNA from 1 species